rnacentral:rRNA from 1 species
UACGAAGGGGGCUAGCGUUGUUCGGAAUUACUGGGCGUAAAGGGCGCGUAGGCGGCAAUUCAAGUCAGCUGUGAAAUCUCCGGGCUUAACUCGGAACGGUCAGCUGAUACUGCUUUGCUAGAGUGCAGGAAGGGGCAAUCGGGAAUUCUUGGAUGUAGCGGUGAAAUGCGGUAGAUAUCAAGAGGAACACCUGGAGGUGAAGACGGGUUGCUGGGCUGACACAUGACGCU